rnacentral:rRNA from 1 species
UGGGGAAUAUUGCGCAAUGGGGGCAACCCUGACGCAGCAAUACCGCGUGUGUGAAGAAGGCCUGCGGGUUGUAAAGCACUUUCAGUAGGGAGGAAAGGUAUAGUGUUAAUAGCACUAUGCUGUGACGUUACCUACAGAAGAAGCACCGGCUAACUCCGUGCCAGCAGCCGCGGUAAUACGGAGGGUGCAAGCGUUAAUCGGAAUUACUGGGCGUAAAGCGCGCGUAGGUGGAUGAUUAAGUCAGAUGUGAAAGCCCAGGGCUCAACCCUGGAACUGCAUUUGAUACUGGUCAUCUUGAGUACAGUAGAGGGAGGUGGAAUUUCCGGUGUAGCGGUGAAAUGCGUAGAUAU